GUUCGAUCUCAAAUCAGGUAGGACUA
rnacentral:rRNA from 1 species